UGUGCUAAAAUCUGAAACUAUUAUUAUUAUUAUUAAGAUACAGAAAAUUUUUUUUUCUCAAACGCGUGAUAAUGCUAAUAAAAUAGCCUGAUCAGGAUAAAUUAUCCAUACAUUGCAGAAAAAUACGUUACCGACCAGCCAUGAGACUCAUGACUGGCCGGUAACGUAUUUUUCUACAAUGUAUGGAUAAUUUAUCCUGAUCACGCUAUUUUAUUAGCAUUAUCACGCAUUUGAGAAUAAAAAAAUUA